rnacentral:SRP_RNA from 2 species
GGAUAGGUGCUGUACGAUGAAGCACCGUGAACCAUGUCAGGCGGGGAACCGAGCAGCAUUAAGCGGUUGUAACAUGCGAUACAGUUAAUCUGUUCGUC